AUUGAACGCUGGCGGCAAGCCUAACACAUGCAAGUCGAACGAGUGGCGGACGGGUGAGUAAUGUCGGGGAAACUGCCUGAUGGAGGGGGAUAACUACUGGAAACGGUAGCUAAUACCGCAUACCAUCGGAUGUGCCCAGAUUGGAUUAUCGAGUAGGUGGGGUAAAGGCUCACCAAGUCGACGAUCCCUAGCUGGUCUGAGAGGAUGACCAGCCACACUGGAACUGAGACACGGUCCAGACUCCUACGGGAGGCAGCAGUGGGGAAUAUUGCACAAUGGGCGCAAGCCUGAUGCAGCAAUGCCGCGUGGAUGAAGAAGGCCUUCGGGUUGUAAAGUACUUUCAUCGGGGAGGCGUUACCCGCAGAAGAAGCACCGGCUAACUCCGUGCCAGCAGCCGCGGUAAUAC
rnacentral:rRNA from 1 species